GUCGGAUUGAUAGACGGCAUAGCCGCGGCGGUCUUGUGCACCGCCGUCAACACAGCCCUGCGGCAUUCGAUGUACCGAGCCGACG
rnacentral:tRNA from 1 species